GAUGAAGAACGUAGCGAAAUGCGAUAAGUAAUGUGAAUUGCAGAAUUCAGUGAAUCAUCGAAUCUUUGAACGCACAUUGCGCCCCUUGGUAUUCCGAGGGGCAUGCCUGUUCGAGCGUCAUUAUAACCCCUCAAGCUCAGCUUGGUGUUGGGGCCUGCUGCACUGGCAGCCCUUAAAAUCAGUGGCGGCGCCAUCUGGCUCUAAGCGUAGUAAUUCUUCUCGCUAUGGAGUCCUGGUGGAUGCUUGCCAUCAACCCCCAAUUUUUCUAUGGUUGACCUCGGAUCAGGUAGGGAUACCCGCUGAACUUAAGCAUAUCAAUAAGCGGAGAA
rnacentral:misc_RNA from 1 species